rnacentral:misc_RNA from 1 species
GUUACGAUUGUAUUAUGUUUUGACGCUGAUUACUAACGUAAGAGUUGAAAUGUCCUAUCGGCAGGCAAGCCUGCCAAGGAAACAAAGAGUACGCAAAAAACAGGGUUGAAUAGGACCGGUCAGACCGGCCUAAAAUACGUAAUGAUCCUUCCGCAGGUUCACCUACGGAAA